rnacentral:tRNA from 1 species
GGGGGUAUGGUGAAAUAGGUAAACACGACGGACUUAAAAUCCGUUGACUAUUGCAGUCUUGAGGGUUCAAGUCCCUCUACCCCCA